AACGAACGCUGGCGGCAGGCUUAACACAUGCAAGUCGAGCGCCCCGCAAGGGGAGCGGCAGACGGGUGAGUAACGCGUGGGAAUCUACCCAUCUCUACGGAAUAACGCAUGGAAACGUGUGCUAAUACCGUAUACGUCCUUCGGGAGAAAGAUUUAUCGGAGAUGGAUGAGCCCGCGUUGGAUUAGCUAGUUGGUGGGGUAAUGGCCUACCAAGGCGACGAUCAGUAGCUGGUCUGAGAGGAUGACCAGCCACACUGGGACUGAGACACGGCCCAGACUCCUACGGGAGGCAGCAGUGGGGAAUAUUGGACAAUGGGCGCAAGCCUGAUCCAGCCAUGCCGCGUGAGUGACGAAGGUCUUCGGAUUGUAAAGCUCUUUUGCCAGGGACGAUAAUGACGGUACCUGGAGAAUAAGCCCCGGCAAACUUCGUGCCAGCCGCCGCGGUAACAC
rnacentral:rRNA from 1 species